UGAGUCAGAUAUCCAGAAAAUGACCCAGUUCAAGCAUCGUAUUGUGAACGGCACCGAAAAUAAGGACAGGUUCUUAAAAGCUAUUGAUCUGUCUUGCAAGCUAGUCUUGAUCAAAACCUCAAGAGAGAUAGAAUCCAAGUAUUUGGAUUAUUUUUCUUCUUUAAUAAAAAAGGAAAUUAACUAUUCCAGUUAGGCCUCUAGUUCAAAAACCUAUAUACACAGACAAUUUUAAUGAUACAAUAAUCAUGGAUUGGCUGAGCAGAAAGGAGUCUUCUUCAGUUGUGUACGUAUCAUUUGGCAGUGAGUACUUCCUUUCCAAGGAAGAAAUGAAUGAUAUAGCUAGUGGGUUAUUGCUCAGCGAGGUUAGUUUUAUAUGGGUUGUGAGAUUUCAUUCUGAAGGAAAAUUGACUAUCGAGGAGGCACUGCCUUAAGGCUUUGGUGAGGAGAUUGAAGCAAAUAAUAAGGGGAUGGUAGUGCAAGAUUGGGCUCCGCAGGCUAAAAUUUUAGGGCAUGGAAGCAUAGGGGGUGAUGAAGAGAUCACUGUGGUAGAGAAGUUGCUGCAGCUUGUCAAGGUACAUAGUUAGAGCUUAGCUCAUAAUUUGAUUUGCAAAAACAAAGUCUCCAAACAACAAUAUUGCCUAUAUGAUUUCAACAUGUUCGUGUCUUCGUGAUGUGUAUAGCCAGCCAUUCUCUAGUGUGGACCAUAGAGCUUACCGUCUUGUAAUUUAGGAAAAGCUUUGGGUACUCAUAGAGUGCCACCUUUCUUAAUUAUUUAUUUUUUUAUUCACUCUUUAUUAACCAAUUAUAACAAUAUCCAUGAUUAUAUAAUAAAUAGUGAACGGAUGGCCAAUUGUCCUAAAGGGUAAUUGGGCCAAUCAAUUGGAGAAAACUUAGCGUUUAAUUGAGGCAGAAACUUCAAUUAUUAUUAUUUUUUUGAAUGAAAGUCUCAAUCAUUACUGUAUUUGUACCCAAUAACUCUAAGAGAAAAAGACACAUAUGCCCUCAAAAUUUGAAAAAAUAGUCAUUUACACAUAGAGUGCAAUUUUUUUAAAAAAGGAAGUGUUAAUAAAUCUGGCAUAAGCAGUAAAAGAUGUGAACUUCAGUGAAGAUAUUAUUAAUGGACUAAGUUUUGAUUGAAUUAAAAGAUGAUAAUACAAUUCACUGAGGUAUCAUAAACGGUUGAGCCGCCCCUGAUUAUUUUCACCGUCAAUAAAUUUCAUCAGACAAAUAUCAUAUAUGUAUGGCAUUAAAUUUCGUGAGUUAUCACGAAUAUGAAAAUUUUUUGUUUAAUAAAAGUUCAGUAUAUCAUAUUAACUGGAAUUUAGUUAUAGUUGAUUGUUCAAAUUUAAUCCUAAUUUGAUAUUAUUAAAGUGUGUGAAUUUUUUAUAAUUAAUUAUUCAAAGUGGGUGCAAAUUAUUUUAAUUGGUGUUUAUUUUAUUUAAAUGAUCAAUUAUUUAUUUAGGGUUUAGAGUUGUUGAAAUAACAAAAUUACCUCUGUGUCAGCAGAUUAUUUGAUUUGAUUCAAAAAAAUCACAAAAUCUAGUUGCUAAAGCCACUAUUACAAUUAAAACGCCCGUCAGCGGUGCUGCGAGCGCGAGGGAGAAGGAAAAACAAAAUUAAGAUGGAAAUUGGGGGAAGCAAACAGAGAGCCCCAAAUAAACCAAAUCUAGUAAUAACAAUGGGUCCCACGGGUUCUGGCAAAUGGAAGCUAGCCAUUGACUUGGCGUCGCACCUCCCUGUCGAAAUCGCCAACGCUGAUUUUAGGCAAGUCCAUUAAGGCCCUGAUGCUCUCACCAACAUAGUCUGCCUUCAAGACCAAUAAGGGUUUUUCUCCUUUCUCUUUCCGUCUCUGUGUUCUUCAAUGUUCUCUUCUCUUCGUACACGUGAAUGUCAUUUUGUAAAUUAUAAUGUUGUGUUGAGUUUUUUAGUAAAUGGGUUCUGAUUUUUUUUUUUUUUUGAGUUUGUAAAAGUAGAGCUAGAGCUGUUAAAAUUUGACACGACCCGACUACCCGACACGAAUACGACACCAAUAAAUGGGUAUGAGUUGUCGAAUUUAAUACGAUUAUUAAAUGGGUCGGGUUUGGGUCAAUACGAUUUUUUUCCGUGUCGAGUUAGGUUUUAAAAUUCUUGACCCAUUUACCCGAUCAAUGACCCGAUUAUAUUUUCUAUUUUAAAAUAAUUUAUAGAUUCUAGUCAUCAAAACUCAAAUAUUAGGAUGAUUUUUUUUUAUUCUUUAAAAUGAUGAAUAUAAACACAAUAUUUUAUUUAUAAAAUUUUAAAUACAUUUAGAGCUUUAAUAGUGUAAAUGUAUAAAAUAUUGGUAGACAUGUAUAUUUUAUAAUAUUGAUAUAUAAUAUUAUUUACAUAUAUAUAAUUAAAACCUCAAUAGUGUGUGUAAUAUUUUAGUAGAUGUGUAUAUUUUAUAAUAUUGAUAAAUUAUGUAUGCAUGUAUAGAUGUAUGUAUGUACGUGCAUACAUAUGUAUGACAAAAUGUAAAUAUUUGAUAUAACUUUUGUUUAAUAUACAGAUAUUAAGCGGGUUAUUGGGUAACCUGAUUAUUUUUCUGUGUCGGGUUUGGGUCUCAAUAUUUUGACACGAUUAUUAAAUGGGUCGGAUUUGGGUCGACCUAAAUUUGACACGACACGAACACGACCCGAUGACCCGUUUUGCCAGCUCCACAUCCGCUUAUGUAACAGUAAGUCCAGGUCAUGACAAAUCUCAAUUAUCAGGGUUUGAAAUUAGUGUCUGCUACCUCUCUCAUCUUUUACCCAAUGAAAUUAAAUCAUUUGUUUCCACUUUCUUCUACAUAAGUAAUUAUAUACUAUAUUUCUGAGAAUAUUCUGCUACAUAAAUUAUUCUGCUGUACCGUACAUCCGCCUUGGCCGUACAGCAGUAAUCACACCACCAAAAACAUUCCCCGCCGUCUUAUCCCCACUCUCAUAGCAGCAUUUGAUGCUGCCAAACCUUCAUUUUGCAAUGUUCUGGAGACCCUUAAACCAACCCUAGUAAUUUAUGAUUUAUUCCAACCAUGGGCCGCUGAGGCAGCUUAUCAGCAUGACAUUGCUGCUGUUGCGUUCUUAACCACUGCUGCUGCAAGCUUUUCUUUUUUUCUUCUUAAUUCCAGCUUGAAAUUCCCUUUCCCAGAAUUUGAUCUGCCUGAGUCAGAAAUCCAGAAAAUGACCCAGUUCAAGCAUCGUAUUGUGAACGGCACCGAAAAUAAGGACAGGUUCUUAGAAGCUGUUGAUCUGUCUUGCAAGCUAGUCUUGAUCAAAACCUCAAGAGAUAUCGAAUCCAAGUAUCUGGAUUACUUUUCUUAUAUAACAAAAAAAGAAACUAUCCCGGUUGGGCCUCUAGUUCAAGAACCUGUAUACACAGACAAUAAUGAUGAUACAAA
rnacentral:lncRNA from 1 species